GGGUUGUGAGGUUAAGCGACUAAGCGUACACGGUGGAUGCCCUGGCAGUCAGAGGCGAUGAAGGGCGUGCUAAUCUGCGAUAAGCGCCGGUAAGGUGAUAUGAACCGUUAUAACCGGCGAUACCCGAAUGGGGAAACCCAGUGUGACUCGUCACACUAUCAUUAACUGAAUCCAUAGGUUAAUGAGGCGAACCGGGGGAACUGAAACAUCUAAGUACCCCGAGGAAAAGAAAUCAACCGAGAUUCCCCCAGUAGCGGCGAGCGAACGGGGAGGAGCCCAGAGCCUGAAUCAGCAUGUGUGUUAGUGGAAGCGUCUGGAAAGGCGCGCGAUACAGGGUGACAGCCCCGUACACAAAAGCGCAUGUGCUGUGAGCUCGAUGAGUAGGGCGGGACACGUGGUAUCCUGUCUGAAUAUGGGGGGACCAUCCUCCAAGGCUAAAUACUCCUGACUGACCGAUAGUGAACCAGUACCGUGAGGGAAAGGCGAAAAGAACCCCGGCGAGGGGAGUGAAAAAGAACCUGAAACCGUGUACGUACAAGCAGUGGGAGCACCUUUGGGGUGUGACUGCGUACCUUUUGUAUAAUGGGUCAGCGACUUAUAUUCUGUAGCAAGGUUAACCGAAUAGGGGAGCCGGAGGGAAACCGAGUCUUAAUUGGGCGUUAAGUUGCAGGGUAUAGACCCGAAACCCGGUGAUCUAGCCAUGGGCAGGUUGAAGGUUGGGUAACACUAACUGGAGGACCGAACCGACUAAUGUUGAAAAAUUAGCGGAUGACCUGUGGCUGGGGGUGAAAGGCCAAUCAAACCGGGAGAUAGCUGGUUCUCCCCGAAAGCUAUUUAGGUAGCGCCUCGUGAAUUCAUCUCCGGGGGUAGAGCACUGUUUCGGCUAGGGGGCCAUCCCGGCUUACCAACCCGAUGCAAACUGCGAAUACCGGAGAAUGUUAUCACGGGAGACACACGGCGGGUGCUAACGUCCGUCGUGAAGAGGGAAACAACCCAGACCGCCAGCUAAGGUCCCAAAGUCAUGGUUAAGUGGGAAACGAUGUGGGAAGGCCCAGACAGCCAGGAUGUUGGCUUAGAAGCAGCCAUCAUUUAAAGAAAGCGUAAUAGCUCACUGGUCGAGUCGGCCUGCGCGGAAGAUGUAACGGGGCUAAACCAUGCACCGAAGCUGCGGCAGCGACACUGUGUGUUGUUGGGUAGGGGAGCGUUCUGUAAGCCUGCGAAGGUGGCCUGUGAGGGUUGCUGGAGGUAUCAGAAGUGCGAAUGCUGACAUAAGUAACGAUAAAGCGGGUGAAAAGCCCGCUCGCCGGAAGACCAAGGGUUCCUGUCCAACGUUAAUCGGGGCAGGGUGAGUCGACCCCUAAGGCGAGGCCGAAAGGCGUAGUCGAUGGGAAACGGGUUAAUAUUCCCGUACUUGGUGUUACUGCGAAGGGGGGACGGAGAAGGCUAUGUUGGCCGGGCGACGGUUGUCCCGGUUUAAGCGUGUAGGCUGGUUUUCCAGGCAAAUCCGGAAAAUCAAGGCUGAGGCGUGAUGACGAGGCACUACGGUGCUGAAGCAACAAAUGCCCUGCUUCCAGGAAAAGCCUCUAAGCAUCAGGUAACAUCAAAUCGUACCCCAAACCGACACAGGUGGUCAGGUAGAGAAUACCAAGGCGCUUGAGAGAACUCGGGUGAAGGAACUAGGCAAAAUGGUGCCGUAACUUCGGGAGAAGGCACGCUGACACGUAGGUGAAGUGAUUUACUCAUGGAGCUGAAGUCAGUCGAAGAUACCAGCUGGCUGCAACUGUUUAUUAAAAACACAGCACUGUGCAAACACGAAAGUGGACGUAUACGGUGUGACGCCUGCCCGGUGCCGGAAGGUUAAUUGAUGGGGUCAGCGCAAGCGAAGCUCCUGAUCGAAGCCCCGGUAAACGGCGGCCGUAACUAUAACGGUCCUAAGGUAGCGAAAUUCCUUGUCGGGUAAGUUCCGACCUGCACGAAUGGCGUAAUGAUGGCCAGGCUGUCUCCACCCGAGACUCAGUGAAAUUGAACUCGCUGUGAAGAUGCAGUGUACUCGCGGCAAGACGGAAAGACCCCGUGAACCUUUACUAUAGCUUGACACUGAACAUUGAGCCUUGAUGUGUAGGAUAGGUGGGAGGCUUUGAAGUGUGGACGCCAGUCUGCAUGGAGCCGACCUUGAAAUACCACCCUUUAAUGUUUGAUGUUCUAACGUGGACCCGUUACCCGGGUUGCGGACAGUGUCUGGUGGGUAGUUUGACUGGGGCGGUCUCCUCCUAAAGAGUAACGGAGGAGCACGAAGGUUGGCUAAUCCUGGUCGGACAUCAGGAGGUUAGUGCAAUGGCAUAAGCCAGCUUGACUGCGAGCGUGACGGCGCGAGCAGGUGCGAAAGCAGGUCAUAGUGAUCCGGUGGUUCUGAAUGGAAGGGCCAUCGCUCAACGGAUAAAAGGUACUCCGGGGAUAACAGGCUGAUACCGCCCAAGAGUUCAUAUCGACGGCGGUGUUUGGCACCUCGAUGUCGGCUCAUCACAUCCUGGGGCUGAAGUAGGUCCCAAGGGUAUGGCUGUUCGCCAUUUAAAGUGGUACGCGAGCUGGGUUUAGAACGUCGUGAGACAGUUCGGUCCCUAUCUGCCGUGGGCGCUGGAGAACUGAGGGGGGCUGCUCCUAGUACGAGAGGACCGGAGUGGACGCAUCACUGGUGUUCGGGUUGUCAUGCCAAUGGCACUGCCCGGUAGCUAAAUGCGGAAGAGAUAAGUGCUGAAAGCAUCUAAGCACGAAACUUGCCCCGAGAUGAGUUCUCCCUGAGACUUAAAGUCUCCUGAAGGAACGUUGAAGACGACGACGUUGAUAGGCCGGGUGUGUAAGCGCAGCGAUGCGUUGAGCUAACCGGUACUAAUGAACCGUGAGGCUUAACCUUACAACGCCGAAG
rnacentral:rRNA from 1 species